rnacentral:misc_RNA from 1 species
GAUGAAGAACGUAGCGAAAUGCGAUAAGUAAUGUGAAUUGCAGAAUUCAGUGAAUCAUCGAAUCUUUGAACGCAUCUUGCGCUCCUUGGUAUUCUGAGGAGCAUGCCUGUUUGAGUGUCAUUAAAUUCUCAACUACACUGACUUUGAAUUGGUGUGGCUUGGAUUUGGGGGGAAAAUUGUUGUGGGCUUUUUGUAUAGUCUGCUCCCCUGAAAUUGAUUAGCGGUACCUUUGUGGAACUGUCUACAGGUGUGAUAAUUAUCUACAUCUUUGACAUCUGCUGGAAUGCUGCUUUCUAAACCUUACUUGUAUUGACAAUCUUGACCUCAAAUCAGGUAGGACUACCCGCUGAACUUAAGCAUAUCAAUAAGCGGAGGA